UUGGCUAGUUGGUCCCUCUUU
ensembl:piRNA 21ur-6134 ncRNA